UACGUAGGGCGCAAGCGUUAUCCGGAAUUAUUGGGCGUAAAGAGCUCGUAGGCGGUUUGUCGCGUCUGCCGUGAAAGUCCGGGGCUCAACUCCGGAUCUGCGGUGGGUACGGGCAGACUAGAGUGAUGUAGGGGGAGACUGGAAUUCCUGGUGUAGCGGUGAAAUUCGUAGAUAUCGGGAGGAACACCGAUGGCGAAGGCGGCGGCCUGGGUUGACACUGACGCUGAGGCGCGAAAGCGUGGGGAGCAAACAGG
rnacentral:rRNA from 1 species